GUGGUCUCAGCUGGUUGGGGUGGUGAUGCUGUGGUCUGGGUGUAGGUCCUCUUGGCGUGGGUUCUCUCAGUGCAGAUCCUUCAGGUCUGGGAGGUUGUCUAGUUGGUCUGUGCGGGGUGUCCGUUGCUCUGUUGCUAUGGUUGAAGGUGACGUCCUUCAGGGUCCUGGCAAAAGUUUGGAUUGCUGCCUUGGAGUCGUGGGCCAGAUAUACAUUAGGUUGUGAGGCACAGUCCCGGGAAAUGUUUGCAUUCAACCACUGUAUGGUGGCAGGGUGGAAGUAUUUUUGUGGUAGCAGGGUGGAUAAACCACUUGUGCGUUGGGGAAAGUAGAAGAAGCUUUUUCAAUCACUCCAUUGAGUGCUAUGGCCCUCCUUUCCUGCUGGGCCCUCAGGUCGUUUGUGCCCGUGUGUAUGAUGCGGCUGGGGGACCCUAGUCUGUCCUUCCCCCCCCUCUCUCUGAUGUUGCUAUACCAUUCUGGUCUAUUUGGACAUGAUCUCUAUUGAAGUCAAUGUGUCAGUCAGUGUGACUUCUUCGAUGGGUGGUCGAGGAGAGGGUCAAUUUGUUAGUAGGACAGAAGAUUGUCCACCCCUCCUCGAUCGCCUCUUUCCGCUGAGGAAGCACGAGAGUAUCCUACCUGAGUACUUUACAAAAUAAUUCAUUUUUGCCCCGUUUGAAAUCAGCUGUUGUAUUGUCAAAGGAGAAAAACAGGCACCUGUUUAAAAACAAUAUGCUACUUAUCAUUUUAUAUAGAAAAUGUCUAGCACCACUGGCUAAAUAUCUUUUUAAUACUUUUUUUGUGCUGUGACUGGCGCCCUCUAGCUGUGAAAUGAAGCAACAGCAGAGGGCCUAAUUUGCUGUAAGCCUAAUAACCAGGAUCUUGAUUGGACCUGCUCGUUUACUUAUAUCGUGUCUCCUGGAUAUUUAAAUGGAUUGUAAAGGAGCUUACUGCGCUCUCUCUCUCUCUGUCUCUCUCUCUAAUCUGGUGGGAUUAACGUGCGGUUGAGUAUCGGGCAUGUUCAAGGGAGAGAAGAAAGACACUGGUGACGGAAGAAAGACAGAUCAUUGAAGGAGAGAGAGAGAGAGAGACGGUGUUGAGUCGAACGUCCAGAAAACAGGAGAAUAAGACGAGCUGAGGAUCUACCUGAACAAGGUGCUCCAUAUUGAAAAGGCACCUGUCAUCUUUGACCAUGUCUAAGGACCAGUGUGAAUCCAUAGCAGUGAGCGUCGAGUCCCUUUUAACCGACGCAGUUAAGAUGCAGUCCCAGUGUCGGGAGCGUAGUGAGCAGCUAGCCGUGGCCGCCGCCGCACUGAGGGAGGAGUCGGCGUGCUUGAGAGAACAGUGUCAAGCCACCCAGCUGGAUAUGGCCCGGAUGAGGAGACAGUUAGAAGAACUGCUGGAUACCAAAGCUCAGAUGGAGGCCAGUGACAGAAUGCACCGGAAACUCAGCAAGACACUCUGAAUGGAAGACAGGAGAGAGAGGAAAAGGGGGGGGAAC